AAUGAAGGAUGAGAUUGGACUUCUCAGUGUGUGUCCAGAACAAGGAUGGAGAGGCUCAGCAGCACUGACAGGACCUCCUCAUGAAAUGGAAGCACAUCCAGGCUGGAGGCCCCUGUGUUCCAGGUGCUGUGUCGGUGCUGACCUGCCCGGUGACUCCAUGAUGGCUUCUGUCUUCAAGGUCACCAUCAACUGAAACAGACUGAAGAGAAAAGCAUCAGUGGGGAAAAAACUUUGUUCUGGGAGGUGCAGUGACCACCAAAUACUAUGAAGUGGACACACUCAAGCUGUGGAGGGCUCUUAGCGUUUGUUGAAGACAGAUCUUCCCAGAGAAAUACCAACACACAGCAGCACAGAGGCAUCUCUGUGCCCGUCGACCCACCCAGAGACCUCCCCAGCAUGGUGUGGUGGGGCAGCUGGUGUUGUGAAUCAGGCCGUUGCCAAUCAGAGAACGGCUACUUCACAACACCAGGGCCGCACCACACUACAGGCGGCAUUCUGGCUCCAGAACCAGCAAAGGCACCCACUGGCGAGGCAGCCACUCCCCCGCCACAGAGGACCAUCAGCUCUAGAACCCAGGCACGUGGCUUUCCAGGUCUGGGCUGGCUGCUGCAUCGCCCCUGCAGACACUGGCUUCCUGAGGCUGCUGUUUAUCCCCAACACAAAUGCUCCACUUUUAAAGAAAAGGCCACUCCUGGUAACAUUAGUUUCCUACAGAGAAAAUGGUGCUACCAGGCUUCCCACUGUGAAAAUGAAGUUAUGGGCCAUCAGGAGGGUUCAGUGCCACUCAAUUGA
rnacentral:lncRNA from 13 species